rnacentral:lncRNA from 1 species
UCACCACAACAUCAAACAUCAACCAAGAAUGAUGCAUCCAUGGUCAAGUGCCAUUUCCAUCACAUAGCAAGAUUUAGACCAUGGGCUAGGUAGAACUCAAGCUAACAACUAAAACAUGCAUGCAUCUCAUGGAACAUCAUCAAACAUACCUUAGCCUAGCUACAUGCAUGGCCGAAUCUCUUCACCUUUCUUCUUCUUUCCUCCUUAAAAUUUUUGGCCAAGGAUGAACCAAAGGAUGAGAAAAUUUUUUCUUUGUUUUUCUUUCUAAUUUAGGCUAAAUGAAGGUGAGAAAAGGAUGAACAAAGAUCUUCUCCUCUCUUUUCUUUAGCUCACGGCAAUGGGGGGGGGGAAAGAAUCAACUACACACUUUUUUUUUUUUGUGUAUUCAUCAAACUCCUUUUCAUUAUUUAAUUUCCAUGCCUAUUAUUUUAUUUUUUUCCACCCAUGAUGCACCAACAAAACAUGUCUAUGACAUGUCUUGGCCAUCAAACUUGGUCUACCAUGCUUGUCAUGGCCGGCCACUACUAGUAGGGGGGGAAUUUGACAUGCAAGUCCCCCCUUUGUCCACAUGCACUAAUAGGUCCUCACACAUUGACCUAUCACAUUUUAGAAUUUUCUCACAUAAGUCCUAUUGACUAAAUUCACAUGAAAUCAACCAAAUUGAAGCUUGAAAUUUUCACACAUUCAUAAUUACAUAUUCUAGACAAUAAGUAUCACAUUCAAACAUUUCGGUGACUCGGUUUAGCGGUCCCGAAACUACUUCCCGACUAGGGUCAACUUUGGGCUGUCACAACUUAACAGCUUGGUGCAAUAAAAGAUAGUACCGCAACUGGGCUACAAUUGAUGUGUAUCGGAUGGGUGGGUCGAUAUUUAUAUCCCCACAUGAUGUGUAUCGAGGGACGGAGUUGAUGUGUACCAGUUGGAUUAUUGGGGUGGGUUGCACUGUAUUGCAUUGCAUUGCAUUGCAUGUAUGAUUUUAUGGAUUGAUGAAUGCUUAUUACUCGUCGAGGAAUGUACACACUGAGUUUUCAAAAAGUCACUCCCUUUCUCAGGUGAUGCUCAGUAGAAGGCUCGAUGUUUGGGGGGGACUCGGAGGUGGCCAGCUAGCAAGAUGACUUGGACUUGUUUUUUUGAAAAGAAAGCAUAUAGUUUCUAGCUUAUGAAGUAGUUUCAGACUAGAAUGAAAUAAGACCUUCCCUUUUAUUAUUAUUUGGAUUGUUAUUUUUAUGCGUUGUAAUUAUGAGAAGGUGAACAUGGGUUUCCUAAAUCAUAGAUUGUUUUUCUACAUUUCCACAACUAAAUUUUAAAAUGACAGGCUUUCAUAAAUCAUAUGUUUUAAACAAGCUUUCGCGAUUGAAAGAGAGUUUUUAUAAGUUAAUUAAUGUUUCUUAUUUUAAGAAGGGUUUUUAAUGAAAAUAAGGUUUUUGCUAAAACACUUCAAUGUGACACGUCAGAUUCAGCUAUAACGUCCGGGCCAGGUUUGGGGUGUUAUAUUUAGUGGUAUCAGAGCCCGGUUACAAAACUAGGGUUGUGAAGUGGGCCUUAUUAUUUGGGGUUUUUUUGUUUUAAAAAAAUCACAAUAUUUUGGAAGAAAAAAAUUCUUACUAUACGGUACACCGAGUCUCCGACGUUAAACCAAGUAAGUUCUUUUAUUCUUAAGCUUGUGUAAUUUGAUAUACUGUAGGUAGUUAGUGGGCUACUUUAGAUGAUUAUGCUAAGGUUUUCAGAUUGAAACUAAAGCCCGUAAGACCCUGAAAUUGUAGAGGAUUUACGAAAAUAACCUUCUUUUAAUACUUCCAUAAAACAUCGGUUUAAUUAUUAAAACUAACUAAAACUUCAUAAAAUUUCUAAUCCAGAUAAUACCUGAGACAACGAUGAGUGCUAAAAGAGGUGCAAGAGGCCAUGGCCGAGGUCGCGGAAGUAUUAGGGCUGAAUCGUCGGCAUCGGGUCAUAUACCCAAUGUUAGGGUAGAAGAGGCUCCGGCCUCACCCGUGGCUGAGAAUGGACCGUAUGAUCGGGCCAUGGGGGAAGAUGCAUUGUCACAGGCAAUGUUGAGGAUUUUGGAAAGGGUCGCAGGGCCCAGUAAUGGAACGGGAAAUCGGGGGACCAUUUCGGAGCGACUUCGAUCAAAUGGGGCUGAGAUCUUUAAUGGCAUGGCUGGUAUGGCUCCUAACAUGGUAAAAUACUGGUUGGAGGCCAUCAAAAGGAUAAUAGAGGACUUGGACUGUUCUCUUGAACAAAAUUGAAAGGGGUAGUGUCACUGCUUAAGGAAGAAUUGUAACACCCCGAACCCGAGACCAUCACCGGAGUCGAACACAAGGUGUUAACAGACUUUUAAAAAUUUUCCAGACACUGCCAAUCUGCGUAAUAGUCGCUUUAAAAAUCAUAUCUUGAGUUUCACAACUCGAAAAUCAGUUUCGUGAUUUUUCCCUGAAAAUAGACUCACAUGCCCAUCUACAUAUUUUUUUCUAGAAUUUUUGGUCAGGCCAAUUAGUACAGUUUAUUAGUCAAAGUCUCCCAUGUUACAGGGGUCGACUACACUGACCUUUUCCCAUUACAACUUGGAUAUCUCUCUGUACAGAGCUUCAAUACUGAUACCGUUUGCUUCUAUGGAAACUAGACUCAGAGAGGAAGCCUUAAAUAUAUGGUAUGACCCCUAAUUAUCUCUGGUCAAUUUAUAGUGAAUUUUUAAAGUCGGAACAGGGAAUCCAGAAACUGUUCUGGCCCUGUUCCACAAGAACCCGAAUAUCUCUUACUGUACUGUUCAUAUGAUUGUUUCGUUACUUUCAUAUGAAAGUAGACUCAUCAAGGUUCGAUUACAUAAUUUAUUCACUAUUUAAUUCCACUCCUACGAAUUCUUGUGAUUUUUCCAAUCCACACCACUGCUGCUGUCAGCCUCUGUUUUCAAAGUAAACCUUACCUAUUUUCGGGGUUUCAUGGACCAACUAGGGCCUUGUCAUACAUAUGCCCACAUAUGAUCAUACUUAGCCAUUCCAAUGGCUGAUCAUUUGCUCAACACUUCCAUUCCAACUAUAGUUUCAUCAUGAAACCAUCUAUACAUUCAUAAACACGAAUGGUCUAAUGCCAUACUCCACUUCUACAAGCCAUUUUCGCAUGGCUGUACACUUAUACAUUUCAUAAAGUACUCGAAAAACAACAAUGGGUAGUCCUAUACAUGCCAUAUCAAAAUUCAACCAAAAUAGUACCCAAAAGAGCCUUUGAUAGUGUGGGCGACUUCGACUUCAAGAUCCCGAGUCCGAUAGCUGGAGAACCAAAAAUCUAUAAAACAGAGGAGCAGUGUAACGAGUAAGCAAUUUAUGCUUAGUAAGUUUUGAGCAAGGAAUUCCAGCAUAAACAAAGAAUAACACACAUUUAGCUAAACGGAAUAUUUCAUAAUACGCAAUUUACCGAUAUCAAACUUGCUUCACAACAUUAACAACCCUUAUGUACAUACACAAUAGACUAACUUAGCCGAAGGCCGGUAGCUCGUUUAUCAACUGAGCGAACAUUUAUUUGUAAGGGCUCGAUUAAAUUCAACACAUACGUAACAUAUCCCCAUAUUGGGAUGUUUUUCGAGUAUUCGCUGGAAUUUUACAGCAAGCUCAUUGAUUACCAAAUCACGUACCUUCGGGAUUUAACCGGAUAUGGCUCCUCGUUCAAAUGCCUUCGGGACAUAGCCCGGUUUUAGUAACUCACACAAUGCCUUCGGGACAUAACCCGGAUUUAAUAACUCGCACGAAUGCCUUCGAGACUUAACCCGGAUUUAGUAUCUCGCACAAAGGCCUUCCGGGCUUAACCCGGAAUUUGUAUCUCGCACAAAUGCCUUCGGAUCUUAGUCCGGAUAUAUUCACUUAGCACAAAGCCUUCGGGACUUAGCCCGGACAGCAUUCAAUUAAUCAUGCACAUCUAACAAUAAUUCAUGGCACAUUCAUAUUUCAUUUUCAUUUGCGAAACUCAAACACAAGGCACAUAUCGUCCUUGCACAUUCGGCUCAAUAGCCACACAUAGAGCAUGAUUUAAUCACAUCGUAAUUUAAGCUCUCUUACUCACGAACUUACCUCGGGUGUUGUCGAAUGAUUCCGCUAGCUAUUCAACCACUUUUUCCUUCCCUUUAUCGGAUUUAUUUUCCCUUUGCUCUUGAGCUUAAUUAAGCAAAUAAAUUGAUUUCAUCAUUUAGGCAUCAAAAAGAUGAACACAAGGCACUUAGCCCAUAUUUAUACAUUAGACAUUAAAGUCUCAUACAUGCAAAAAUCAUGCAUCAACACAACAUAUUAGCUAAUUUCUUUCCCCUUGGCCGAAUAUGCAUGUCUAUUUUUGGGGUCGAUUUCAACACUUAAUACACACAUAUACACACUAGUAAAGCAUCCUCCCCCUUUUCAUCAAUUUAACACAUGCAUUGCUCAUUAACAUGCAAAGUUACAUUCGGCCUUAGCACACAUCUUGCUAGCCGAUUCUUCUCCAUUUAGCAACCAAUGCACAUAUGUGCUCACACAAAAAUGCUAAAAAGGAGGUUCAAGAAUCAUCAAGCCAUCAUCACAUGCAUCAUUAACAAGCUUCAUUUUUUGCAUGCAAUGGCAUUAACACAACCUCCACCUAGGCCGAAUCUUAACUCAUCCUCAUGCCUCAUCACCACAACAUCGAACACCAACCAAGAAUGAUGCAUCCAUGGUCAAGUGCCAAUUCCAUCACAUAGCAAGAUUUAGACCAUGGGCUAGGUAGAACUCAAGCUAACAACUAAAACAUGCAUGCAUCUCAUGGAACAUCAUCAAACAUACCUUAGCCUAGCUACAUGCAUGGUCGAAUCUCUUCACCUUUCUUCUUCUUUCCUCCUUAAA